rnacentral:rRNA from 1 species
GACGAACGCUGGCGGCGUGCCUAAUACAUGCAAGUAGAACGCUGAAGAGAGGAGCUUGCUCUUCUUGGAUGAGUUGCGAACGGGUGAGUAACGCGUAGGUAACCUGCCUUGUAGCGGGGGAUAACUAUUGGAAACGAUAGCUAAUACCGCAUACCAAUGGAUGACCCAUGUCAUUUAUUUGAAAGGGGCAAAUGCUCCACUACAAGAUGGACCUGCGUUGUAUUAGCUAGUAGGUGAGGUAACGGCUCACCUAGGCGACGAUACAUAGCCGACCUGAGAGGGUGAUCGGCCACACUGGGACUGAGACACGGCCCAGACUCCUACGGGAGGCAGCAGUAGGGAAUCUUCGGCAAUGGGGGCAACCCUGACCGAGCAACGCCGCGUGAGUGAAGAAGGUUUUCGGAUCGUAAAGCUCUGUUGUAAGUCAAGAACGAGUGUGAGAGUGGAAAGUUCACACUGUGACGGUAGCUGACCAGAAAGGGACGGCUAACUACGUG